rnacentral:rRNA from 1 species
GGAGUUUGGACCGUGUCUCAGUUCCAAUGUGGCCGUUCACCCUCUCAGGCCGGCUAUUGAUCGUUGCUUUGGUAGGCCGUUACCCUGCCAACUGGCUAAUCAAACGCGGGUCCAUCCUUAAGCGAAUUUCAUUUCCUCACUGUAUCAUGCGAUACUGUAAGCAUAUGGUGUAUUAGCAGUAAUUUCUCACUGUUAUUCCCCUCUUAAGGGCAGGUUACCCACGCGUUACUCACCCGUCCGCCACUAGAAUUUCCAAGAAUCCAUCGAAACUUCAUCUCGGAGUUCCCGUUCGACUUGCAUGUGUUAGGCACGCCGCCAGCGUUCAUC